rnacentral:rRNA from 1 species
AUUGAACGCUGGCGGCAGGCCUAACACAUGCAAGUCGAGCGAGCGGCGGACGGGUGAGUAAUGUCUGGGAAACUGCCUGAUGGAGGGGGAUAACUACUGGAAACGGUAGCUAAUACCGCAUACCAUCAGAUGUGCCCCGAUGGGAUUAGCUCGUGGGUGGGGUAAUGGCUCACCUAGGCGACGAUCCCUCGCUGGUCUGAGAGGAUGACCAGCCACACUGGAACGGAGACACGGACCAGACGCCUACGGGAGGCAGCGGUGGGGAAUAUUGCACAAUGGGCGCAAGCCGGAUGCAGCCAUGCCGCUGGUGUGAAGAAGGCCUUCGGGUUGUAAAGCACUUUCAGCGGGGAGGCGUUACACGCAGAAGAAGCACCGGCUAACUCCGUGCCAGCAGCCGCGGUAAUUC